rnacentral:lncRNA from 1 species
GGUGGCACAUGCCUGUAAUCCCAGCUACUCAGGAGGCUGAAGCAGAAGAAUUGCUUGAACCCUGGAGGCGGAGGUUGCAGUGAGCUAAGAUCGAGCCACCGCACUCCAGGCUAGGCGACAGAGGGAGACUUAGUCUCAAAAAAGAAAAAAAAGAAAACCAUGGAACUCAAACUCAUAACACUAGGUGAAAGAAGCCAGGCUCAGAAGACUACAUACUAUAUGAUUCCAUCUCUGUGAUGUUCUGGAGAAGGCAAAACCAUAGACACAGAAUCUUGCCCUGUCGCCCAGGCUGGAGUGUAAUAGUGUGAUCUCAGCUCACUGCAACCUCCACCUUCCCGGUUCAAGCAAUUCUUCUGCCUCAGCCUCCCGAGUAGCUGGAACUACAAGCGCGCACCACCACACCUGGCUAAUUUUUGUAUUUUUAAUGAAGAUGGGGUUUCACCAUGUUGACCAGGCUGGUCUCGAACUCUUGACCUGAAGUGAUCUGCCCACCUCGGCCUCCCAAAGUGCUGGAAUUACAGGUAUGAGCCACCAUGCCUGGCAAUUUUUUUUUUUUAGAUGGAGUUCCACUCUGUCGCCCAGGCUGGAGUGCAGUGGCAAGAUCUUGGCUCACUGCAGCCUCCACCUCCCAGGUUCCAGCGAUUCUCCUGCCUCAGCCUCCCGAGUAGCUGGGAUAAAAGGUGCCCGCCACCACACCCGGCUAAGUUUUGUAUUUUCAGUAGAGAUGGGUUUUCACCAUGUUGGCCAGGCUGGUCUCAAACUCCUGACCUCCUCCCGCCUCGGUCUCCAAAAGUGCUGGGAGUUUUACAGGUGUAAGCUGCAGUGCCCUGCCAAUAUAUAAUUUUAAAAACUAUGUCUAAGUCUCAAAGAGCCUUUUAAUAAAUAGAAAAUAAAAAUUCUAAGUGAUAAGGAGGCAUUGUCACAAUUAAUUGGCAGUGUCUUUUCUAAGUGGUACAUAAAAUGCUAGUGCUGCUUACAGCAGAAGCAUCUCCAGUCAGGUUAUCUCAUUUCACAGAUGAGAAAACUGAGGACACAGAGGCCACAGGGCAAAUCAGUGAUGGUGCCAGGGCUCUCUCUGACAACAGAUACUGUGCUCUUCCUGACACCUGAGGAUGACUUGGAUGUGGAUUAGCCCCCUGGCUCUUCCUCCCUCAAAGGUCUUGGUCCCAGCCAGACAACUCCAACUCUGCCAUCCCAAGGGCCUCUGGGAGGCAGUAAGUUCUCCUAUUGUUCAAAACUCAGGCCAGCAUGGUGGCUCACACCUGUAAUCCCAGCAUUCUGGGAGGCCGAGGUGAGCAAAUCACCUGAGGUCAGGAGUUCAAGACCAGCCUGGCCAACAUGAUGAUACCCUGUCUCUACUAAAAAUGUAAAAAUUACCCAGGCAUGGGGUGGUGGGCACCUGUAAUCCCAGCUACUCCGGAGGCUAAGGCAGGAGGAUCACUUGAACCGGAGGCUAAGGCAGAGGUUGCAGUGAGCCAAGAUCACGCCACUGCACUACAGCCUGGGAGACAGAGCAAGACUCCAUCUCAAGAAAAAAAAACCAAAAAACUCUAGCUGAGGAGGGUUAGCCGGAAGCCUUCUUCCCAAUGUACCAACCACCCCUACUUCCCACUGCUCACCUCAGCAACCCCAGUCUGGCCAAGUCCAUCCCAACCCAUGCUGCCACACGCCCUUCAUGCUCUUCCUAGGACAUUUAAUCACCUGGUCUUGGGCCAGGCAGACUGGACUCUCCCUUCAUUUUACAGACAAGGAAACUGAGACACAGAGAGGCUGCUGGACUGUUGCAGGCAAGUCAGGGAAGGGCACGGUCUGGAACCCAGGGCUCAAAAUGCAGUGUUCUUUCCAACUUCACAGAUUUCUUAGAUCCAGAAGAGGCAGGCUGGCAAGGGACAGCAAGGGACUCAGAGUGAGUCAAAAGAAAGGACUUCCAGAUCAGAAGGAUUGGUAAGACCUGAACAUGUAAUUGUGGGAUGAUGCCAAAGGUCUUCACCUGACUCUUGUCAACACUAACAGGUUCCGGGACAGCUGCACUCUAGGGGGCCAGUAGAGGCACCAUCUUGCUCAAAGAAUGGGGCCAAACUACACCAGGCAUCUCUACCAUCCCCAUCAGAUCCUACCUCUCUCUGCUUAAAACCCUCCAAUGGCUUCCCAUCAUUCUUGGAACAAUUUUAAAUUCUUCACCAGGGCCCCAAGGUCCUACAGAACCUGGUUCCUGAUCACGCCUAUGAGAUCAUCUCCCCAUGGUCACUCCAUUCCAGCCCCCUUGGGCUCCUCCCUGUUCCUCAACACACUAAAGCUGUUCCCAUUUCACAGCCUUUACCCUAAUGUUCCCUUUAUCUGGAACAUUCUGUCCUCAGCUCUUCUCAUGGCCACUUCCUUCUAAACAUUCAGGUCCCUACUCAAACGUUGCCUCUUGGAGAGGCCUUCCCUGAUCACUUGGCUAAAUACACGAGGCUUUGCAGGAUAUACAGUCCCUGCUGCAACUACUUAAGUCUGCUCUUACAGCGUAAAACAGCCAUAAGCAAUAUGUAAGUGAAUGGGUGUGGCUGAGUUCAAUGAACUUUAUUUACAAAAGUAGGCAGUAGGCUGGAUUUGGCCUAUGAAUGUAGUUUGCUUACUCCAGCUCUAACUAAUUGUCUUGUUUGAUUGUCUUCCUCUAUCCUUCCCUCUCUAGACUGUUAACUCCAUAAGAGCAGAGACUCUAGUCUCAUUCAAUGCUGCUGUGGUAGCCAGCCUCCAAGAUGUCCCCCAGUGAUCCCCAUUUCCUGGUAUUCCCACCAUUAUUUACUCCCCUCCCAAACUGAGUAGCGUUGUCUGUGUAAUCACUAGGAUAUUGUGAAAAAGAUGGAGUGUGACUUUUGAGGCUAGAUGAUAAGAGGCAUUGUGGAUUUCAUCUUGCCACCUUGAAUCCCUUGCUCUGGGGAUGCCAGCAGCCAUGCUGUAAGGACACUCAAGCAAUCCUAUGGCAAGGUCCACAUGGGAGGAAUUGAGGCCUCCUGCCAACUGCCAGCCAUGCAAGUGAGCCAAAUUGAAAGUGGAUUCUCAAGCCCCAGUCAAGCUUUCAGGGGAUCACUGUCCCAGCUGGUAUUUUGACUACAACCUCAUGAGAGAUCUAAGCCAGAACCAUCCAGCCAAGCCAUUUCUGAAGUCCUACCACACAGAAACUAUGAUAUAAUACAUGUUUGUUGUUUUAAAAUUAAGGUAAUUAGUAAUUAGUUAUGCAGACAUAGAUGACUCACAUAGUUGCCUAGCACAGUGUCUGGUCACAGAAUAAAUAGGCUAAUUAAUAUUGGUUAAUAAAUAAGUGCUUAAUAAAUAUAGAAGGACACAUUAUAAAAAUAAAUGUUUGGGGCCGCUGCGGUGAGUGCAUUCUCACUCAAUAGGCGCCAACUAAACUUUUAUUAAAAUAAAAUAAAUGUUUGAAAGACAAAUGUAUUAUAGUUUUUAUAUAAAUAAAUGUAAAAAUAUACAUUAAAUAAUAUAGAAGGGCACAAUUAAAAUUUUCCUAAUCCACUGAUAGUCCUUGGACAAGAUGCCUAUAUAAGAAUUCUUUCAACCUUGAGAUCCUAAGAUUCGGAGAUUCUCAGUUUCUGUGUAUAAUUAAUGCUAAGUCUAGGAUUAUAUAAUUCUGAGACUUUAGGCUUCUGUUUCACCAAGUCCAUGGCUCUAAAAGCUUGUGAUUCUAACAUCUUAUGAUUCAUUUAUCAACAUAUAUCUUGGCUGAACAACUCUUCUCUGCCAGGCACAGUGCUGGGUGCUAGGGAUUCAGUAGAGAAAAGAUGAUCCCGAUAUCUGCCCUCCUGUGGCUCAUGAGUGGAUGGGGACACAGGCAAACACACGGGCACACAUGAUGUAGUGAUCUCUGUCACAUGGUAAGCACAGCAGCUGGGGUGGGGACUGUGGUAAAUGAAGGAACACCAACCCAGAUAUUCAGGAGGGAUGUGAGCAGAAACUGUCCUCAGAGCAAACAGGAAGAGAGAGGACUUCAACCAGAGAAGGAGGUGGUGUUGUAGACUGUGUUCCAGGUAGCGGGAACAGCCAGUGCAAAGGUCCAGGGGUCAGGGGAGAGAGCCAGCAUCCAGCACAUCUGGUGAAGCAAAACAAGUUCUGUAUGGGUUGGUAUAGAGUUGGGGGUGGGGGGCGGUAGAAGGCAGAGUGGCCAGACUGUGGCCAGAUGACUGAGAACCUAGUAAACCAUGUCAAGGAGUUUGAACUUUAUCCUGAGGGCAAAGGGGAGCCAGGGAAGGGUUUUAAGGGGCAGCAGAGUGGCACAAUCUGCUUGGUAGUUUGGAAAGAUGCCUCUGGCUCCUGUGUACGGGUUUGGAAGGAGGAGAGACAAGAGACAAGUCUGGAACAAGAUCCCAGGUGAGAGAAGAGGCCUGAGUGAAUGGGAGGUGGGCCCCAGAGAGACAUUUCAUUUACAGUGUGGGGAAUGGACAGGGAGUUGGUGGCAGUGUGGGUUAUACUGGUAACCUAGGAGCCCAGGACUCCUAGAUUUUAUGAUUCUAAAAUUCUUGGCCAGGCACAGUGGCUCAUGCCUGUAAUCCCAGUACUUUGCGAGGCCAAGGUGGGCAGAUCACUUGAGGUCAGGAGUUUGAGACCAGCCUGGCCAACAUUGUGAAACCCCGUCUCCACCAAAAACACAAAACAAUUAGCCGGGCCUGGUAGUACAUGCCUGUGAUCCCUGCGACUCGGGAGGCUGAGGCAGGAGGAUCCCUUGAACCCAGGAGGUGGAAGUUGCCCUGAGCCGAGAUCGCGCCACUGCACUCCAGCCUGGUUGAC